GUAUGGCUGUUCGCCAUUUAAAGUGGUACGCGAGCUGGGUUUAGAACGUCGUGAGACAGUUCGGUCCCUAUCUGCCGUGGGCGUAGGAGAAUUGGUUGGGGCUGCUCCUAGUACGAGAGGACCGGAGUGGACGCACCACUGGUGUUCCGGUUGUGUCGCCAGACGCAUUGCCGGGUAGCUAAGUGCGGAAGAGAUAAGUGCUGAAAGCAUCUAAGCACGAAACUUGCCAAGAGAUGAGUUCUCCCAAUCUAAGAGAUAGUAAGGGUUGUUGUAGACUACGACGUAGAUAGGUCUGGUGUGUAAGUGUAGUGAUACAUUGAGCUAACAGAUACUAAUUGCCCGAGAGGCUUAACUAUACAACGCUCAAG
rnacentral:rRNA from 1 species